rnacentral:sRNA from 1 species
GCCAUUCCAUUCAUAUACAAAAGAAUAUUAUUAAAAGAAUAGGGAACUUAGAACUACGUAACCAAUAUGGUCAAAGUAGUUUGCACAUUUCUAUAUACACGCAAUUGCAAACCAAACAUGUUAAAUCUUAUACUACUAUCCCUCUUGCUUUGAAUUGCUUUCUUAUUCUUUUGAAAAUGCCUUUUCUUCUCUCACUCUAGAAGAAAAGCGAUAUAACAUACAGACUCAAAUACUCUCCAAUCCCUUCGUAUAAAUAAAUGAACCACCGUCACAAAGAGCAAGACGACUCAGCAACCAACAUUGAAAGUCGAUUUGGAGACGCUGGUUUCCGCCUGCAGCGGCGGUUGCUCUGACCAGAAAAUCGCCUGUGCCGACAACGACCAUCCAGACUUGCCGCCGGAGUCCUUCUGGCUCUCUGGUGACGCCGAGUACGACUGGUGGGACCGCAACGCCGUUUACCAGAGGAACGAAUCCACCAAAGGAAACUCAAUUUCCUCCACGAACCUCAACCCUAGCUCGAACAACAACUCGCAGCGAUUCUCCAAGAAUCUGAAAUCCAAAGCCGCAAUUAUCGGCUUGCCGAAGCCGCAGAAAACCUCCUUCGCCGACGCAAAGUGCCGUCGCAAUCACCGACUUGCAAACGCCAGGCUCUUCCCCAAGCGUAGCGCGUCUGUCAGCGGAAAAUCGGAAAACUCCCUCGUUGAACCCUCGUCGCCGAAGGUCUCCUGCAUAGGGAGAGUGCGAUCCAAGCGAGACCGCAAUCGGACACUUAGAACGCGCCAGAGAUCAAUCUCCUCCACCGCCACCGCCACUACCUCCGUCGCCGCCGUUACCAUCACGCGGCAAAAGUCGAAGCGGAGCCAGAGGAAGAAGGCUGGAUUCUUCGCAAGCGUUCGUGCUAUAUUCCAAACUGGUCGCAGGGGAAAACCAGUUCAGAAACCGGACCUUCAGCCUGGGGAUUCGUCUUCGAAGAAGAAAUGGAGCUAUGGCAAGAAAACGAGGGGAAGCACUGGUGGCAGCACGGGCAGCCGCAAGGACGAGUUGUUUGAAGAAUCGUUCUCGAGUGAGCCGCGCGGUUUGGGUUCCGUGAACCGGUUCGUGUCGGGGAGAAGGUCGGAGUCGUGGGUAGUUGGUGAGUCCGAAAUCGACGUGUCUCAUUAGGAUUCGCUUUUUGUCUGCUGUACAAUUUUGGUGACGGCUGCGGUGGGCCCUGACAUUUUGAAUAUUGGAUUAAGGGAUGACGUGGCAAAUUGAAUAACGGUAUGAACGCUAUAUUAUACUACAAUGUAUGUAAUAUAGGUUGACGGUAAAAGUAAGCGUGAUUGAAUUUGCCGCUGCUGUCUUUUUUUGUUCCUUUCUGUUCCGGCGAUUACAACGACAGCGUCGUGUAAAUAUGAUUAGUGUAACGUGCCUUUUCACAAACGCGCAGCCUUUAUCAAUCCUUGCUGUAGUUAUCUUCCCAGAGUAUCCAUACUUUUACAGUUCCCC